CAGGUGACCAGGGUCCUAGGGAUGAGGCUCAGCUCCACCCCACUCUGUAAGCCACCUGCAUCAGCAGAGGUGCUAGCUGGAGGUGAGGGGAAUAUGGAAUGGGUAGAGGUGGAGUGAGGGGAUGGGUAGCAGUUAUAGAGUCAAGACCAGCUAUAGCUACAGGGACUAUAGUUCCUCCCACUAACCUUCCUUUUGAAGUUUCUCCAGGACAAGAGAAAAAGAGAAUCCUGAAGGCAUGGUUCCCAGACGGGGUGAAAUAGUUAAUACAGAAAUUCUUCUAACUCAGGCCCAAACAUCUCCACACUGUCCCCAUCCUCAAGCCCUGCCGUCCACUCCACCCCUAUUUGUACAGGAGCCAUUUAAUAGAGCAAACAGUAUUCGUUUGGCAGUUUAUUUGUGCUGCACCAAAAAAAACAGAGAAGCCAAAACAGAAAGAAAAAGGAAAAACAAAAAACCAGAAAUGGAGAAGUGUUCCCUUUCCAGACAAUCAUGUAAGUAUCCGUAAUUAACUUAUCUCUUUUUAUAGAAGUUAUGGAUUUUUGUGUUUAAACACUGACCACAAAAAGUGACUAGUAAAAUCUCUGAAAAGUUAAAGGAAGUGCUUAAAUUCCAAUUUUAGUAAGCUUGUGUCCAAUUCAAUUUUCUGUGAUUUUUAACAGAAAUGGAAUGUUGGGGAGAACUGGGAAAAAAGGGUAGUAUUCUGGUUUGCAUGGUAGACCCCAUGUGAACAGGUGUUUAAAAUUCACUGCUAGGUAAACUAGAUUCAAAUUCAAAACUUUUGUCAAGCAAUGAAUAUUUCAAACAUUUGCUUUUUUUUUUUUUUUUUUUUUUUUUCUUUGACAAAACCUUGUUUUUUCCCCCUUCCCUUUUUUUUGUUUUUUUCCCUAGCAGGAAGGCACAAUCAUUCUACAAUACUGCCAAAUAUAACAAACAUCUACAGAUGGGUUGGUCUGCAGCUGGAGGCUUUAACUUUGUAGUAUUUAUUUGAAAUAUCCAAGCCAGCAGAGCAGGGCUAAAGCACAGUGGGCACAAUUCACAAUGUUUUGGCUCUGGAGCAAAUAGCAGUUGAACUUAGUUUUUUCAGCUAAAAUGGAAUUUAUGCAGAUGUGCUUUGCACUAAAUUCAUUAAACAAUUACAUCCUGGUGCAGUUUUCACAUUUUUGUAAAGGAUCUGCAUAAGCACUAAUUAGAUCUAAAACAAUGUUACUGGGCAAAUUACAGUGCCGAUUGUUCGCCUCGGCUUGCAUUCCACAUCUGCUUUGCAAUGAUGAUGAUAAUUUAGGUGCAAGCAAUACAAAUGCCGGUUUUUGUUACAUUUAGUAGAAAUAUUUAUUUAAAACAUACUAUAGAUUAAUUGAUAAUGUAACCAUUUUUAAAGAGCCUCCAAAUGUUUUCUCACGGACAUUGAGUGGAAAAAUGCAAUCUGUGAAAAUACAGUAGCUGAAACUUCUCACAGUUGCUAACUGGCAUUUCCUCAGUGAGGUUUGCUAUUGAAAGGCAACUUUGCAUUUCAUUUGGCUUCAAGUACAAGCUGGGUUCGCUGAAUUACAGCAGUGCCUUUGAGAGUGCAGCGGCAUUUGACAUAAAGGCAUAAAGACUUUCCUAAACAGCUCCCAGUCGUGGCAACCCACGCUACCUCUUCUUUGGUCAAUCAGUUUCAAAGGCUGACUUAGUAUUGGAAAAUUAUUUAAUGGCUUAAGUAUUUCAGAUGUUAGAGUAUGUUUUCUUUCUUCCAUAUUCAUCUUCUGUCUACUUUGUAUAUCAUGAAGUAUAAGAAGGCAUAUUAACGUUUAAACAUAAAAUCAAUUCUGCUGAAGCGAGGACAUUCAGACAGGGUUUCUAUGGCAACUUUGAAUGUACCAACUUAAUUCAGGGUUUGCUCCAACCCAGAGUCACCUCCAUUAUCACUCUCACCCUAGACAUUCUUUAACUCGCCUGGCCAGCCAUGUAGUCGGGAAUCCUGAAGUGCGAUCACUCUGCUCCUGCCCAGGCUAACGGCUACGACGACUAGCUAGCAUUAUCUCUCUCCCUGGGAAGGAGGCCAACCUGGUGAAUCAGUUUGGCUUCUGGUUUCCUAAAAAUCACUCCUGUUGUUUGACUUUUUGAAUGGGUUACUUUUAUUGUUUGAUAGAGCCAGACAUACAACAGCAAGCUUGGUGCCAGCACUGACAAAGAUGAAAAGGCAAAAUGAAACUCCAAGGGUAAUUGUCAUGAAAGUCCAAGUUUGGACAUAUCUCCUCUCUACGAGGGAACACUGUGCUAAUUAUUAAUGCAAAGCACAGCCAGCAUUCAUGGUGCUAUCAAAAUUUAGCAUCCAUGUUCAUUCAUUCAGUUUACUGGAGUGCCUCCCUAACCUUUACGCGGGACUUUCCAUUUCAUUCUGCAGUUUUUGCUAGGUAAGAGGGAUUGGAACUAGAAGAGUGAUAAUUUCUUCUACAGACUUAAUUGGUAAGCCUGAAAAUGCUGUGCUGGUGGAAUAUGAAAUUAUAUCCUCUUUGAAGGAAAACAUAAUUUAGCACUGGGGCUUUGGGUUGUUUGAAGGUAAAAUGUAUUAUGCCUGUGGAAAAGGCAAAGCAAUAUUUGUAAUAAAAGACGUCAUUUUUUAAAGACUCAGAAAAAAGAGAAUAAUUAGUAUUUCCUAACUUGAACCCAAAAUUCUUCUUGAUUCACCCUGGGAAGAUGGUUGGUUCUAUAUUUUAU
ensembl:lincRNA